UGAAUGCGCAUCGUGCUAGGGAUAGACUGUUGCAAUUUUCAGUCUUGAACGAGGAAUUCCUAGUAAACGCAAGUCAUCAGCUUGCAUUGAUUACGUCCCUGCCCUUUGUACACACCGCCCGUCGCACCUACCGAUUGAAUGACACGGUGAAAAAUUGGGACUGUGACCCCGUUUGAAGUAAUUGCGAGCGGAUUAAUGGGAACUUUUUUAAACCUCGCCAUUUAGAGGAAGGUGAAGUCGUAACAAGGUUUCCGUAGGUGAACCUGCGGAAGGAUCAUUA
rnacentral:rRNA from 1 species